GUAUUUUUCAUGUGUGAGGGAAAAUGAAUUGUUGAGGCCAUAGGGUAGACUGCAGUGUUUUUUCUCCGACAUGGCUGCCGUCCUUCCUUCUUUCCCUCUGUGAGUAUGCUGCACCAUCAUCAAGAGAUAGAGUCUAUUUCUCCCUUCUUGUGAAUCUUGGCUUGUUUUACUGGCUUUCUUGACUAAUAGAACGUAGAAGUGAUGUGCUGGAAUUUUCAAGGCUAGUUCAUAAGUAAUCUCCCAGCUUCUGUCUUGGGCUCUUGGAGCCCUGAGUCACCUUGUACGAUGUACAAGCACUCUGCUAGAGAGACUAUGUGGAAAAACCCUGAGACAGUAUGUGGAGAGAUAAAGAACCAGCUAAGUCCUGCCUCCUAGCUAUCCCCACCAUUGUGCCACACAUGAGUGCAGCUGUCUUGGAUCAGUCCAGCCCAGCCCAGCCACCUAGUGAAUACUUCUGAGUGAUCCCAGUUGAUGCUGUGUGGAGCAGAAAAAAUCACUCAGGCAUGCCCUGCCUGAAUUCCUAACCUGAAAACUGUGAGGGCGCCGAGGCACAGAGAGCUGUAACAGCCCACUCAGGAUUGUAUGCUAAGGAGAAGGUGGAGUUGGGAUUCCUGUGUUCUUUCCACUUUGCUAAGAAGCCCUUAGCAAUUUCAUCCUAAUAUUUUAAUGCUGAAAGACACUUACUUGAUCAAUCUCAGAACAUAUUUUGAGGGUAUUAACUGCCAAUUAAAAGGAAAAAAAGUUUUUUACUUAAGACACACUGCUGACUUUGUUUGCUCCCCGUGCCCUCUGUCAAGGAAGCCCAGCAGAGUUUAAACACAAUUCUAUUAGCUCUGAUUGUUCAUUCCUUUUUGUUGGUGUUGUUCCUAAAUCAUCCCAAACAGUGAGCACUUCAAUUGUGGAAAAUCAGCUUUGACUUCUGAGAGCAAAUGCCCCUGGAAGCUGUUGGCCAACAGUGCGUGGGGUGGAGGCCGUCCCCUUGCUGGCUUGAGCCCCUAUGAGUCUCUCCUGCGUGACUCAGUGCUCACAUUCCUACCGUUCCUUGCUCACCACCGGAUCUGGGCGUAUUUCUGCAUGGCCUGUGCUGAGCAUCUUGUAACUAGAACUUUCUAAUGGGGUUUCCUUGUGGGAGUUCCUUUAGCCUUCCCGGUGUUUUUCAGAUCUUAGUCACCCUUCCAGGCUUGCGUAGUAGGUGAAGACUUCUUUGAUGCAUUUCAUGAAUUCUGGUUGUUUCAGUCAGGAUGGGCAAGGAUUGUGCUGCAGCAACCGAGAAGCUCACAGCUCAAUGCUUCAACCCUUUAGAAAGGGUUGAUUCCUCUCCCGCUCUACUUGUCCCAUGUGGGAUGAACAGAGGGGAUCUACCCACCCUGGGGACACAGCAACCAGACUGAAGGAGGUUUCAGCUCCUCACUUCCCCGCUCCAGACCAUCUGACUCUAGUUCCUUUCAUCAUUCCUGAUGUCACGAUUUCAACAGUAAGCGUGAUACCAAUGACAGUGAUCAGAAAACUCCUACUGCCAUUGAAGCGUCUGCUGUCAGCAUCUUCCAAGCUUGGAUAACCAGCCCUUCUGCCCUGCCCAAGUGCCACCCAUUUGAGGAAAAGGACAAAUGAAUAAGACAUGUUUUUGUUUGUUUGUUUCUGAUAGAGCUGAUAUUGGAGGGUGAGGCUUAUGCCUGUUGGGAUUUGGGCUUCUAGAAACUGACCUCUCAUGCUGGUCAGCUUCACCAUCUCCAGCAAUGUGCGACUUAGGCCAGGCUCCACAACUAGGCCAGAGGAAGAUUUCUGGGCUACAUGGGACAAGGACAAGGAACUUUAGAGAAAUAAGUCAUUGCAUUGAAACCUCAAAUUUGAUUUACAUUUUGCAGAUGAGGAAACUACGGCACAGAGAAGUUGAGGAACUUCCCUGAGAGCACACAGCCUGCCCUCUCCCAUAUGAUACAAUAGUGACACUCCUGCUUUUCCGAGUUGCUGCCUGGGUCCCUGCUGGGGAGGGAGUUUGCCUCAGUGAGAGUGCCUUUCUCUGACUUCUCUACUCAGGGUCAUUCCAUUUGUCCUUUUAGAACUGACCCAGGUUCCUGCGGAAGCUGUCCCUGGUUCUGAGUCCUGUGGUGUGCCUUGUUUACUUCAUUGCCUGUGAAUAAUCCAACCAAGAGCAACACAAAAGCCUCAGCCUUUCAAGGAGCACUUGGGGUGUUUGAGGUCAUCUGUGGGUGUAGGCUGACUGUUUCUCAUGCCUCUGGAAAGGUCCUGGGUUACACCCUGACCCUCUCCACCCAGAUCCAUGGAUGUACGCCUCAUUUAUUCACUGCUCCCCACUGCCAUAGACCAGCAUUCUCCCCGGGAUGGACCUGGGUUUCAUUCUCUCUAUCCCCCAUACACAGCUCAUGUUUGCUUGUUUGUUGUUUGGAUAAAUGCUUCCCGCUCGGAUUUAUGGAGAGGAUCAAGUUGCUCCUGGGAAGGAGAUCAGUGUGAAAUCUGUAUUUCCUGUUUCUGGUGUGAGAGCCUGGAAGCUCUCUGACUAUUGUCCUCUUAACAAAUGGGGCUCACAGGGUGCCCCCUGUCCGGCAGAGCUUGCACUUCAAACUAAGGCUUCCUUUAUUUAGGCUUAAAAUCCGAAAUUCGUGUGUUCUCUCCCCUGCAAACUCCUAGGCGAGGUAAAAGGUCAGGACUCUAAGGUUCCUGGCUGAGCUGGAAGCUGUUUUCUGCGUUUCCCUCUCAUCUGUUUCAGAGCAGGAUGAGGUUCCUGCCUGCAGAGGGAAAGUGACUUGGAACACCCAGGGUGCCCCGCAGCUUGGCCUUCAGCUGAUGUUAGGGCACAGCAGGUUGAUGCAGUGUGGUCCUGGAGGAUGGAGUUGUUUAUCGUGAUCCCAUAUGGACUGAGGAAGUAUGUGCUGUUGGGGACAGCCAGGCCUAACAGUGGAGAAGACCUGCCUUCCAGGCCCACACUGGACAGAGCAUUUGACCUGCUGGGCCUGAGUUUCCCCAUGUGUACUUUGGGGAUAAUGAGUCCUAGGCUGCGUCCUGCAGAACCUGUCUGGAGGAUCACGUUGGACAGUGAAUACAUUUUUUUAAAACUCUGGAAGAUACAGUGAAGCUGAGGUCUUAUGGUUGUCCCAUCACGGACUUGUGACAUAUAUUUGUCUUCCUCAUAAUGAGGUUGUCAUGACACUCUGCCCAUCCUUGACUGAUCCCUGUUGAUUCCCAGGGGAGCCCAGGAAUUCCCUCUGGGAGGUUAUGCUAGUUUGAAUGGGGUCUCUCCCAUCCUGACUGUCAACUCGUGUGUGACAGACAAUUCUUCAAAGUAAAACGAUGGUGUCUAAGGUGACCGCCCUCAGCGCUGCCACCUCCUUCCCUGCCCUGGGCUCUCCAGAAAGCCAACUUGUCUUUGACUCUGCCCCUGUUCUCCUACCAAAUGCCAGUUAAAUAAGAGGAGUCCUGUGGGUCGCCCAAGGCUGCGGGCUGUGUCAACAUCUGGUGGAUGAGCUUCUGCUCACCACCUUCAGCUCAAUGCCUGCUCCACACUGGGCACAGGGUGUUUUUCUCAUGAAGUGUGCUAGGCGUGAGCUGUGGGCCACCAGCAACCCUUCUGGUUUAAGGAGGAAUUACCUCUGCAGAAGUUUAGCGUGACCCUCGAAGGGGAGAGUGUGGUGAGGUGGUAUGGUUCAGAGGAACAAGUAGCCCAUCAAGCCAGCUUUGCCACUUAUGAGCUGUGUGACAUUGUGGGAGACCAGUAGCCUCUCUGAGCCUCAGUUUCCUCAGAUUUGGAGUUUAAGAGCACAGCAGAUAUACUCACACAUCGCAGUGCUGCUACAGUGAGUAAAUGAGAAACAGCCAG
rnacentral:lncRNA from 10 species